rnacentral:rRNA from 1 species
CCUACGGGAGGCAGCAGUGGGGAAUUUUGGACAAUGGGGGCAACCCUGAUCCAGCCAUGCCGCGUGUGCGAAGAAGGCCUUCGGGUUGUAAAGCACUUUUGUCAGGAACGAAAAGUUUUGCCCUAAUACGGUAGGACGAUGACGGUACCUGAAGAAUAAGCACCGGCUAACUACGUGCCAGCAGCCGCGGUAAUACGUAGGGUGCAAGCGUUAAUCGGAAUUACUGGGCGUAAAGCGUGCGCAGGCGGUUGUAUAAGACAGAUGUGAAAUCCCCGGGCUUAACCUGGGAACUGCAUUUGUGACUGUACGGCUAGAGUGUGUCAGAGGGGGGUGGAAUUCCACGUGUAGCAGUGAAAUGCGUAGAUAUGUGGAGGAACACCAAUGGCGAAGGCAGCCCCCUGGGAUAACACUGACGCUCAUGCACGAAAGCGUGGGGAGCAAACAGGAUUAGAUACCCUGGUAGUCCACGCCCUAAACGAUGUCAACUAGUUGUUGGGUCAAUAUAUGUACGUUAGGUAACGUAAGUACUAACGUACGUGUAAGGUUAGUACCGCCGUCGGGGUAGGUACGGACCGGACGAAGGUUAAAACGUUAACGAAAGGAAGUUAGUACGGCGUGAGACGUCGCCGACGGACGACGACGAGGGAGAGG